rnacentral:rRNA from 1 species
AGUGAACGCUGGCGGUAGGCCUAACACAUGCAAGUCGAACGGCAGCACAGUAAGAGCUUGCUCUUACGGGUGGCGAGUGGCGGACGGGUGAGGAAUACAUCGGAAUCUACUUUUUCGUGGGGGAUAACGUAGGGAAACUUACGCUAAUACCGCAUACGACCUACGGGUGAAAGCAGGGGAUCUUCGGACCUUGCGCGAUUGAAUGAGCCGAUGUCGGAUUAGCUAGUUGGCGGGGUAAAGGCCCACCAAGGCGACGAUCCGUAGCUGGUCUGAGAGGAUGAUCACCCACACUGGAACUGGGCCACGGUCCAGACUCCUACGGGAGGCAGCAGUGGGGAAUAUUGGACAAUGGGCGCAAGCCUGAUCCAGCCAUACCGCGUGGGUGAAGAAGGCCUUCGGGUUGUAAAGCCCUUUUGUUGGGAAAGAAAAGCAGCAGGUUAAUACCCCGCUGUUCUGACGGUACCCAAAGAAUAAGCACCGGCUAACUUCGUG